rnacentral:rRNA from 1 species
AGAGUUUGAUCCUGGCUCAGAACGAACGCUGGCGGCGUGCUUAACACAUGCAAGUCGUGCGAGAAAGGGACUUCGGUCCUGAGUAGAGCGGCGCACGGGUGAGUAACGCGUGGGUAAUCUCCCUUGGUGAUCGGGAUAACAGCGGGAAACUGCUGCUAAUACCGGAUAAUCUUCAUGUUUAACUUCAUGGGGUAAAGGUGGCCUCUGCUUGCAAGCUACCACAUCAAGAUGAGCCCGCGUCUCAUUAGCUAGUUGGUAGGGUAAUGGCCUACCAAGGCUACGAUGAGUAGCUGGUCUGAGAGGAUGACCAGCCACACUGGGACUGGAACACGGCCCAGACUCCUACGGGAGGCAGCAGUGGGGAAUAUUGCGCAAUGGGCGAAAGCCUGACGCAGCGACGCCUCGUGAGGGAUGAAGGUCUUCUGAUCGUAAACCUCUGUCAAGAGGGAAGAAACCCUUGGAUUCGAAUAGGGUCCUUGGCUGACGGUACCUCAAAAGGAAGCACCGGCUAACUCCGUGCCAGCAGCCGCGGUAA